GACGAACGCUGGCGGCGUGCCUAACACAUGCAAGUCGAGCGAGAUCCAUCCAGUGGCAACACUGGUGAAGAUCUAGCGGCGAACGGGUGAGUAACACGUGAGAAACCUGCCCCGGAGACCGGGAUAACUCGAGGAAACUCGAGCUAAUACCGGAUACCCCCACCGAACCGCAUGAUUUGGUGAGGAAAUGCUCCGACGCUCCGGGAGGGUCUCGCGGCCUAUCAGCUAGUUGGUGAGGUAACGGCUCACCAAGGCUAAGACGGGUAGCUGGUCUGAGAGGACGAUCAGCCACACUGGGACUGAGACACGGCCCAGACUCCUACGGGAGGCAG
rnacentral:rRNA from 1 species